rnacentral:rRNA from 1 species
UACGUGGGUGACAAGCGUUGUCCGGAUUUACUGGGCGUAAAGAGCGCGCAGGCGGUCGAUCAAGUCGAGUGUGAAAGCCCCCGGCUCAACUGGGGAGGGUCAUUCGAUACUGAUCGACUCGAAGGCAGGAGAGGGUAGUGGAAUUCCCGGUGUAGUGGUGAAAUGCGUAGAUAUCGGGAGGAACACCAGUGGCGAAGGCGACUACCUGGCCUGUUCUUGACGCUGAGGCGCGAAAGCUAGGGGAGCAAACGGG